AGAUAGGGGAAGGAAAAACCUUGAAGCUUUGAUCUCCAUCUUCUUCAAGCUUAGAUCUCAAAGUUAUUGGAGUAUUUUAGGGAUUUUUGACAAGGAGGAUUUGGGUGAGCUAAAUAGCUAAAAUUUGGAUGUUUUAGAGUAGUUAAGGACAUGUGAAUA